GCAUGAGUACUUCAGUGGUAGAAAUCUCACCUUCCAUGCAGGAGACCCAGGUUCAAUUCCUGGCCAAUGUA
rnacentral:tRNA from 1 species